AGCGUAGGCGGUCCUGCAAGUCUGAUGUGAAAGGCCGGGGCUCAACCCAGGGACUGCAUUGGAAACUGUAGGACUAGAGUGUCGGAGGGGUAAGUGGAAUUCCUAGUGUAGCGGUGAAAUGCGUAGAUAUUAGGAGGAACACCAGUGGCGAAGGCGGCUUACUGGACGACUACUGACGCUGAGGCUCGAAAGCGUGGGGAGCAAACA
rnacentral:rRNA from 1 species